UGCUGGGGUGAAUGUCUCCCUGCUGCCUGAGCACCCCCAUGGCUCUUGCCUUGGGGCCCAGGUUUCCCUGAGUGUUGCUGGAGGCUGCCCUCGUUUGGUGUCAGUGAAGUCAUGGAAUAGAAUUCCAGGGAGAGUUCCCUAAAAUAGAAGAAGAGGGAUUACCUCAUUUCCACCUCCUCUGAAAUAAAUCCUCAUUAUGGAUUUGCACCCGGGGAGGAAGAAGCUGAUUUCCACUCCCAGCCGGUUCUGAGCAGAUAUUUGAAGAGGUCCAGAAAUGGAAAACCAGUCGAAAAGCACUGCAGCUGUGCCACGGAGCCUGUACCACGGUGGUGGCACUGGGGAUGUGGCCUCGGGUUCUUCAAAGCCUCUGCAGCUGCCUCUGGACCUGAACUGUUGUGACUUCAUGUUGUCCAAGAAAUUACACACAAGACCAUGGAGAGAGAUCAAAUCCUGCCAUCUCCCUUGGAUCCUGGAAACGGCCCCUUAAGGCACCCUCGAGCCUCGUUAAAGGAAACAAAUCAAAGUGCUGCACCAGAGGACUGCAGGUAAAGCUGUGCUCCUGAGGACCUGCCUUUUCUAGAUAGCCCCGUGUAUGGGGAGUGAAACAUUUCCAGGAGAUUCGAUUCCACCUGGGGCCUGGGGAAAUUCCGCAGCUCCACCAACAAUCCAUCACCACUCGCUCAGGGAGGAGCGAUAAAUUCACCAUCACCUUCUUCUGGAGCAGCUGUGGGGAUGGCAGGAGGAGCAGCAGUGCAGACUGCCUUCCCUGCACGUGGAGAAGAGCCAAAAUUGGGUCAAGGGAGCAGCUUUCAGCCUCUCCUUCCCCUCCUCUCCCAGCAGCUCUGCUCCCUGUGCCUGUGCAGCUGUGCUGGCUGGCAGCAAUUACUGCUGGUUUCUUCACAGCCUUUGCUUUGGACUCAUCAUGGUGGUGGCUGUUACACCCCUAGGGCAGCAGUGAGUGUCCACCCAGGUGCCAUUGGCAUGUCCAUGCUGACACGUGCAGCCUGGCUCAGGGAAUGUCACUGUUCUCAAAAGCAAAAUGCCUUCAGGGGGUUGUGCUCUGUCCCAGGGCGAUGCUGCCCAGAGAGACAACCUCCUCCUUCCUCCUCCUGCUCUUCCUCCUCCUCCUCUCUGCAGGGCCAGCUCCUGGGAUCACUCACACCCAGGAGGGACUGGAUCUCUGCAAAGUGCCAGGUGGCAUCCACGGGGAAGAGGCAGAUGUUGCUGGAUGACAGGAUGGAGAUCCAGCCUCUGGACCUGGUUCCUUGCCUCGCUGCCUGCAGAGGUCAGCAGUGCUGGAGUCCCUGUGGGAUGUGGGCAGCCCUGCUCCUUCCCAGGCCAGGAAAAGAAGAGAAACACUUCAUGAUCCUUAAACUUGUCGAAUUUAAAACUUGAAAAGGCACCUUCACGCUUUCAAUCAUUUUUACUUCUUCUAAUGCAACUGGUCUAAGCUUUCCUAGAAGACCCAGAGGGAAACCAGGAAAGAUCAGAUGUGACAUUCUGGACUUGGCAUGUGAAAAGCAACUGGGGAAAAAGUAGAAUAAAGUGAAGUACAGAGAGACUUGUGGCCGCACUUGAUGCGCUGAGAGGAGAAUAAAGAGACACAAAAUCAUGUGCAGCCACCGGAGCUGCUUCAGCAAAGGGAGAUUCUGGUGUGAGACACCCCACAAAAAUGUGUUGCUUUUGCUGUUGCCAUAGCACACAGAGGAAACCUGGAACACGGGGUGAGUCACUGGGGUGAAGCAUUUAUCCCAAACCCCCUGUCCUGGAAACCUUUUGGCAGGGAUGAACUUUACAGACCCGAUAGGUCGUGGUGGGAGUUACUGGGACCAGUCAGGGAGUGUCUGUCCAGGCUGGUCACACCCACCUCCCUGUGCUCAGACACCCAGCCCCAGUCCUGGGGCCAGAUGUGCAGCUGUGGUACACGAGUGUCACUGGCCCUGCUGAGCCCCUGUGCAAAUCCAGGGGGAAAUGGUAAUUACUUUUCAAAGCAAGAUUUGUCCCUAAAUCCGUGUUUAAGUCUCAAGGGAAGGCCAGAUCCCCACGAAGUGAUCUAGCAGAAGCUGUUCCCUCUGGGGGCUGGUUGUGGGACCUUUCCAUGAUCCAAGUUUGCUGCAGGGACUUGGACUUCAACAUAACAUACUAUUUACCUGCAAAUCAUUUCCUGUUUUAAAUGCCUCUCAUAAAGGGGGAAAGGUUGAAUUUGCUGGCUGGUUUGGUUGUGUUUGCAGCAGCUUGGGAAAUAAUUGAAAGAGAAAAUGAGUGCAGGGUGAGCGUGGAGGUCCCACAGGGCUCGAGCCACAGAGGAGCCACCAGGGGUGGGUUUAAAGCUCCUGCCCAAUCCUCCUGCUUUACUAAAUAAAGAAAACAUUAUAUAAAUGGUGUUGAAAUGUGGAAUUGUUGGCUAGAUGCUGCCAUGGUCUGCAGGUCUCAGCACUUGGCUGAUGUUUAACCUGAAAUCCUGCUCAGGAGAAUGGGAUUUGCUGUCUGAGGGGUGUGUGAGGGUAAGGCCAGGCCAGGCCAGACUCAGUGGUGUUUUCCUCAGUUGAAGAUAAUUUGGGUUUGCUUGGUCAAAGCUCAAUCAGCAGCAGAGUAAGGGCAUUACCUUCCAAGAAGGCUUGUUUGGCUGGUGGAAGUAAGAUGUUUCUGAGAAGUGCCUGCAACCACUCGAGGUUAAACUAAGAACUGGCAUAAAGUGACAAGGGGCAGCAUUUAGGACUCAAUACCUGAACUAGCCAAACCCUGAAGAAACAAGUUCAAAAUGGAAUUCUUUCAUUAGCUUUCCCCUGGCACUGACACCUGCAGACUGUGGGGGAAGAGAUCACACUGCAAAUGUAAUUCCCAUAGCAUGGGACUUUGGGGAAUCAGAUUGUGUUUGAGCCCCCCCUGGAGAAGGACCCAAACAUGCUGACUGUGCUACAGAUUGCAGAGAAUAGUGUUGCAACAGGGGUUAACAUAAUUAGAGAACUUGGAGCAGCAUUUGAUCUAAAAUUAGGGAGGUGAGCCCCGGGCUCCGUCCUUGGCAGGUCUGUGAUGCAACCCAGCACUGGGAAGCUGCUAAAAUAUAUUGGGACACUGCUUCAAGUGCCAGUACAGAUUGAAUUUUAAUAUCCUACAAAAAACAGGUUACAUUAUUCAAAAUUAAAGGGUCUCAAAGUCACAGCAAAGCUGAAUUUCACUCUGUAACAGCGACCUCAGGUCAUCACUGGGUUUGGUGCCAAACUCACCCGGGUUCUGUGAGGAGACUGAACUCUGCUCUACCCUGGGAUGGGGCAGGUGUGUGUGGCUCUGGGCAUCAGCUACUGCAAAGAGCAAGAACUGUCCCCCUAAAGCCAGGAGGAUCCUCCUCAUCCCCCACCGGCAGGGACUGGCUCGGGCUGGAGGUGGAGGAAGGUGGA